CCACAUUCCUAGAUCUGUGUGCUGAGUUUGCUCCAGUCCUCCAGUGCAGAGACCAAAAUGAGAGCUGCACUGACAGUGGAGAAGGAUGCUGGUGUUUACUCACAAGAUUGGAUCUCAGUGAAAAGGCAUCCCAAUGGGUAUAGCUGCCUGCUGUCUCCUGCAUAACAUCUGUAAAGCCAAGGUGGAAAAGUUGCUGCUGGGGUGGAGUGGCUGGCUGCUGAGUUUGAACAGCUAGACACAAAGGCUAGUAAACGACCUCAACGUAGAACUAUAUGGCUCAGGGAGGAUUUGAAAGAGCAGUUUAACAGGAGUCACAGUGUUCCGCAGAUGUGGAGGGGGAACCCCUCAAGUCUGCAAUGGCAGCAGCUACAGAUAAAAGAUGCAGAGGUACCAUUGUCGAUAUAGUCACAACGGAACGUGAAAGUUAAGAUGCCAUGGAAGAAGAGGACUGUUAAAUGGCUGUGGGCAAUGGUCCCUAGGAUGUAGUGGAAAGAACAGGAGGCAGGCACCAGCUGCUGGGGGAGUGGAAGAAAAGGUGCUUGGAGCCAGCCUUGGACGUGAAUCUGGUCCUUGUCAACUCCUCUGAAACCUUCAGUCCUCAGUUCCCCCCGUCCACUCCAGUAGCAAACAGUUUUGUUCAGCAAGACCGGUGCAUGGGAGACAUCCCAAAAAGGGAAAGCUAGGAUCCUCCAGGAAUUCCCAUCAGCAUACCGGAUAUGAAAUACUGAAGCUAUUUGCAUGCUGCAACAGACUAAAUAUGGUGCAGAGAUCUACCCAGAGAGCCAGAGCACGGUGCUGGCUGAAAUGGCAUUUAUUGACUUCAAAUAGUCCUCUCUGUCCCCUGAAAUAACCCCCUCUCCCUCGGGAAUGACAGAUGAGUCCCGGCCCAAUCUGGACCUUCCAGGAAACUCCUCCAUGAAAGGAGGCAGGGCUGUUCACCUUUCAAAUCAUCAGGACUAAAAACC